UCGAGAAUCUUCCGCAAUGGGCGCAAGCCUGACGGAGCGACGCCGCGUGUGGGAUGAAGGCCUUCGGGUUGUAAACCACUGUCAGUGGGGAGCAAAUGCAUCAGGGUUCUCUCUGGUGUUUGAGCGAUCCGCAGAGGAAGCACAGGCUAAUUCCGUGCCAGCAGCCGCGGUAAUACGGAAUGUGCAAACGUUAUUCGGAAUCACUGGGCUUAAAGAGUCCGUAGGCGGCCUGUUAGGUGAGGUGUGAAAUCCCCCGGCUCAACCGUGGAAUUGCGCUUCAAACCGGCAGGCUAGAGGAGGAUAGAGGUGGGCGGAACUGAUGGUGGAGCGGUGAAAUGCGUUGAUAUCAUCAGGAACACCGGAGGCGAAAGCGGUCCACUGGGUCCUUUCUGACGCUGAGGGACGAAAGCUAGGGGAGCGAACGG
rnacentral:rRNA from 1 species